AGAAAACUAGCUAUUUUCCAUUAAACAUUAUAGCUGCUGAAUCUAUCCAACAGUUGUGCUGUCUCGACUGCACACUCUGUGUGCUUCUCCUGACAUUGAGUUGAUGAUUAACCAGCAGAACAAGAUGAAUCCUACCUCACUGAGUUCGUUUGAUGGAAAUGGACCCAUGUAGCAGAGCACUCGAGAAUUUGAGCAUUUUCUCACCUCUCAACUCGGGGUUUCCUCGGUGUCAUAACCAGUUGAGCUCUCAUGAGGGAAACAUACCUGCAUCGAGAAAAGCAUACCCGAGGAGAUAGCUGUCAUUUCGUGAAAUCAACACAU